CUCUUGCAUGGGAACCCUAAAGGAGAAAAGUAUUCUGGCUCAGAUAAGAAGCAAGUUUUGAAAUACCAACGUGUGUUCUGCAAAAUUCUGGAGUGUGACUCAAGUCAGUGGUGAUCCAGAACAGCAGGGAAAUUCCACCAGAAUCCCUGGUAUCUCACGUGAGUGUCUCUCCUGAGUGUGGGAAAGCAAAGUUCAAGUGUGUGUUCCAGUUCCUACAGCUCCAGCUCAGGGAUAGUCAGAAUCUUGCUCCCACCUUAUCAAUAUUUUAGAAAAGAAAGAGAAACCUUGUGCAGCUGCGGAGGCAAUUUGGAG